GAAAAAGCCCUAUUUAGGGCUACCGAAAAAUCUGUUGUAGAAUUCAU
rfam:Picea glauca, whole genome shotgun sequence.